UCCAUGGAGGACUAGUGGUUAGGCCACAGGGCUCUCGUUGACACUGACUGGGUUCGAUUCCCGGCCAGGGAU